GACGUAGGGCGCGAGCGUUGUCCGGAUUUAUUGGGCGUAAAGAGCUCGUAGGCGGCUUGUCGCGUCGACUGUGAAAACCCGCGGCUCAACUGCGGGCCUGCAGUCGAUACGGGCAGGCUAGAGUUCGGUAGGGGAGACUGGAAUUCCUGGUGUAGCGGUGAAAUGCGCAGAUAUCAGGAGGAACACCGAUGGCGAAGGCAGGUCUCUGGGCCGAUACUGACGCUGAGGAGCGAAAGCGUGGGGAGCGAACAGG
rnacentral:rRNA from 1 species